rnacentral:ncRNA from 1 species
GCAGAGUAGGCUGCGGAGCGUUAAGUGCCUGGCGGACAGGGAGUUGCCGCCGGGACGAAAAGGAAACUUGCGGUUUCGCAGCCGCAUCCCGCUGC